AAUCUCAUAAAUUUAAAUACAAAAAUAAAACACAGCCACGAGAAGUAUAGAUUGGGGGAUUUGGAAGGGAAGGGAAGGUAAUGAUCAAUUCCAGCAGGCGAAGGAGGAGCCAAUAAUAACUACGGCGGAGUCAAAAACAUGGCGAUGCGAGACCUUGUCAACGGCGGAGCCGCCUGCGCUGUUCCCGGCUCCUCUUCUUCUUCCAACCCUCUCGGAGCUCUCACCAACGCGCUUCUUGGUUCCUCUUCCAAAACCCAGGAAAGGCUGAAGGAGAUACCUAAUGCCACCCGCUCAGGUCCUGGGCGGCCACAGUUUUACUCUCAAGACCAACACCUAACCUCACUUCCUGGUUCUGAGUUAGAUCAGCCUGUUCUGCAACCUGGUGCUCAGGGGGCAGAGUUCUUCCGUGGUUUCAGCUCUGUAGAUCAGAAUGGUCUCGGUGCAGCUUGGGAUGAAGUACAGCGUGGUGGACCUAUGCCUCCAAUGGGACCUAUGUAUGAGCCAGUCCAUCCUACAUUUGAGGGACCCCCACAAAGAGUCUUGUCAAACUUUCUGCACUCAUUUGUUGAGAGUAGCCGUGGUGGCAUUCCUUUUCGUCCACCACCUGUCCCUGUGUUGGGAUUGUCGCAAAGUGACAAACAAUGCAUACGUGAUCGUAGUAGCAUUAUGGCCCGCCAUUUUUUUGCCGAUAGGGGAGAGGAAUUCAUCAAUUCUCAGGUAAAUGCAUUAUUGUCAUCUUUGGAAAUUGAUGAUGGCAUUCAAGCUAGAGGUCAUAUUCCUGGGAGAUUUCGAGAGCUAGAUAAUUUUUGGAAUGAGUCUCAAGCUGUCACGAAACCUGGUUUGCAUCCUGCGGAUGGUUGGGCGGCCGAAUUUAACCAGCAUGGAAUGGAUCAUGGUGGUCCUGACGGAUGGGUCCAGUCUUUUGAGCAACAACAUGGUGUGAAUGGGUGGGCCACCGAGUUUGAGCAGGGUCAAUCUCAAUUGAUGUCAAACCAGAUGAGGAAUAUGGAUAUGCAAAAUUUAGCUGCAAUGGAGCAGACUCGUAAGCUUGCCCAUACACUCUCUCAGGAUGGCAAUCCUAAAUUUCAGAAUUCAAAAUUCCUCCAGUUUGUUUCAAAGAUGAGCCGCGGUGAGCUCAUCAUUGAUGAGAAUCAGGUCAAACCAGGAUCAGCCCCUGGGGAAUGGGCUACUGAAUAUGAACAGCAGUAUUUGGGGCCGCCAAGUUGGGCUGAUCAGUUUGCAAAUGAGAAACUUUCGCAUGGACCAGAGCAGUGGGCUGAUGAGUUUGCUUCCGGGAGAGGACAGCAAGAAUCGGCAGAGGACCAAUGGGUUAAUGAGUUUUCGAAGUUGAAUGUUGAUGACUGGGUUGAUGAAUUUGCUGAAGGGCCCCUGGGUGAGAGCUCAGCUGAUGCAUGGGCAAAUGCUUAUGAUGAGUUUCUGACUGAAAGAAAUGCUGAAAAACAAGCGAGUGGUGUCUACGUCUUCUCUGACAUGAAUCCUUACGUGGGCCACCCUGAUCCUAUGAAAGAAGGGCAGGAAUUGUUUCGCAAAGGACUCCUGAGUGAAGCAGCGCUUGCACUGGAAGCUGAGGUUAUGAAAAAUCCUGAGAAUGCUGAAGGUUGGAGAUUACUUGGGGUCACGCACGCAGAGAACGAUGAUGAUCAACAGGCAAUAGCUGCAAUGAUGCGGGCACAUGAGGCCGAUCCCUCAAAUCUAGAGGUGCUUCUUGCGCUUGGUGUGAGCCAUACCAAUGAGUUGGAGCAAGCAACUGCUUUGAAAUAUUUAUACGGAUGGCUGCGGAAUCACCCUAAGUAUGGAGCAAUCGCGCCUCCAGAGCUUGCUGAUUCCCUAUACCAUGCUGAUAUUGCUAGAUUAUUCACUGAAGCUUCUCAGAUGAACCCUGAGGACGCUGAUGUGCAUAUAGUGUUGGGUGUUCUCUUCAAUCUGUCAAGGGAAUUCGAUAGAGCUAUGACUUCCUUCCAAACAGCGUUACAAUUAAAACCAAACGAUUAUUCGCUUUGGAAUAAGCUUGGAGCUACACAAGCCAAUAGCGUCCAGAGUGCCGAUGCCAUAUCUGCUUAUCAACAGGCUCUAGAUUUAAAACCUAACUACGUUCGUGCUUGGGCAAACAUGGGAAUCAGUUACGCAAACCAGGGGUUGUACCAAGAAUCAAUCCCUUAUUAUGUGCGUGCCCUUUCGAUGAAUCCUAAAGCCGAUAACGCAUGGCAAUACUUGAGGAUCUCGUUAAGCUGUGCCUCGAGGCAAGACAUGAUUGAAGCUUGUGAGUCAAGGAAUCUCGAUCUCUUGCAGAAAGAAUUCCCGCUGUGAGUAGAAGCUAUGAUUCAUAGCAAUGCUUAGCAGUCCUUCCCGGUUAAACGAUUCAUUUGUUUUAUUGAAAGUUGCUAAUGGAAAUCUUACAAGCGAAAUCAUAACCGUGGAGAAGAACCUCCAAUACUGCACCAAUCGUUAUUCGGUCAUACCUUGCAUAUUCUGUUUCCAGUGAGUGAGUUUGGCUCAAUUGAAUUGUAAUCACAGGUUUUGUUUUUUGUUAACAAUUGUAAACAAAUUGUAAUCAUAGGUUGCAAGUAGGAUGUUAAAAUGGUAAAA